UCGCAUUUAAUUUAGACAUGACAAAUGUACAAUUGAUUACAUGACUUUAAUUCACAGUUCUGCCGCGCUCUGCAGUCUUCUCCUAGGCUUCGGGUGGAGCUGGCUGGAUGCGCGGAUUAUCUAUUCACGAAAAUACUCAGUUAAUAAGAUAUUCUUAAUUUUUUCUAGGUCUAGACUCCUAGAUUAGACUGCCUAAGAAAAUUCAGACUCGGAAAUUCUACUAAAAACUCGGCAAAACUUCCUCCAAAAUAUGGACAUCUACCCCCCUUCUCCCCCUGUAUAACGGGUCCAAAACCUGCUAGAAACACUUCAAAUAUUCUGCAAUUAAUUAACAGGAGUCAAGCCAGUAAAACUACAUAAUUUUUUCUGACUCUACAACAUACCACAGAUUAUAAUUACCUCACAGACGAUCCGACAUAAUAUUUAUUUCGACAACCAACCCACACAAAAUUUUAUGGUAUUUAACUAUUCAACACGACCACAUCUACCACAAAAUAACACAAUUAUUAAUUAUACCAAUUAAUUGUAAUAUUUAUAUUUAAAUCAUAAUUAAAUUAAAUUAUCUAUAAUUGAUAAUUAAUAGCAACAAUAUUUUCUAAAAUUAUAAAAUAAUUUUCUAAGGUCCAAAUAAAAUUAUAUUGAAGCGAAAAUCCAAAAUUCUGCGCGUCCGAAAAACACUAGGCUCCGAAAGCCGGUACUGCCAAUGGUGUCAGAAUUCGAAUCCGGAAGCACCUACACGAAGUCUGAGUUGUAAGGAGUCUGAAAACGCAAGAAUUUUGGCUGGAAACUCACUGGAAGCCACCGGAUCGAGGCCGAAAAGGUGCUGCUCGGGUGAGGCUUCAUCGAGGUUGCCGACGACAGAAAAUGAUGGGGGAAGCUCGACUUGGGGGUUUUCGACAGUCGGGAGCUUGUUUCUGGUGUCGGUUUUAUGAGAAGAGGGCGGCAGGCGGCUGGUCCAGCGGCGGCAGCUCCUCCUUCCUACGUUGACGUCGGCAGCAACGAGGGAGAGGGAAGAAAGAGGAGAACGGACGUAGCGAGGGAAGGGAAGGAAGAAGGCAAUGGGGGCGACAGCUGGAAGUGGGAAGCGACGAGGGUGGAAGGUAAGGAGAAAGGAAUAAGAAGGAGAAGAAGAAGAUGAUGAGGAGGGGAAUAAGAAAAAGAAAAUCUCUUUUUUUAUUUUUUUAUAUAUAUUAAAUGAUAAUAUUUAUUUAUUAUAGGGUAUUACAUAAUUCAUGAAUAAUUAUCCUAAAUGGACAUGGAUAAUUAAAAUCUAAUUCUCCUUCUUCGGG
rnacentral:lncRNA from 1 species